GUGGGGAAUAUUGGACAAUGGGCGAAAGCCUGAUCCAGCCAUGCCGAGUGUGUGAAGAAGGUCUUCGGAUUGUAAAGCACUUUAAGUUGGGAGGAAGGGCAGUAAGUUAAUACCUUGCUGUUUUGACGUUACCAACAGAAUAAGCACCGGCUAACUUCGUGCCAGCAGCCGCGGUAAUACGAAGGGUGCAAGCGUUAAUCGGAAUUACUGGGCGUAAAGCGCGCGUAGGUGGUUCAGCAAGUUGAAGGUGAAAUCCACGGGCUCAACCUGGGAACUGCCUCCAAAACUGCAUGACUAGAGUACGGUAGAGGGUAGUGGAAUUUCCUGUGUAGCGGUGAAAUGCGUAGAUAUAGGAAGGAACACCAGUGGCGAAGGCGACUACCUGGACUGAUACUGACACUGAGGUGCGAGAGCGUGGGGAGCAAACAGGAUUAGAAACCCUAGUAGUCC
rnacentral:rRNA from 1 species